GCAAGUCGAACGGAAAGGCCCUUCGGGGUGCUCGAGUGGCGAACGGGUGAGUAACACGUGGGUGAUCUGCCCUGCACUUUGGGAUAAGCCUGGGAAACUGGGUCUAAUACCGAAUAGGACUCCGGCCUUCAUGGGUUGGGGUGGAAAGCUUUUGCGGUGUGGGAUGGGCCCGCGGCCUAUCAGCUUGUUGGUGGGGUAAUGGCCUACCAAGGCGACGACGGGUAGCCGGCCUGAGAGGGUGACCGGCCACACUGGGACUGAGAUACGGCCCAGACUCCUACGGGAGGCAGCAGUGGGGAAUAUUGCACAAUGGGCGCAAGCCUGAUGCAGCGACGCCGCGUGAGGGAUGACGGCCUUCGGGUUGUAAACCUCUUUCAGCACAGACGAAGCGCGAGUGACGGUAUGUGCAGAAGAAGGACCGGCCAACUACGUGCCAGCAGCCGCGGUAAUACGUAGGGUCCGAGCGUUGUCCGGAAUUACUGGGCGUAAAGAGCUCGUAGGUGGUUUGUCGCGUUGUUCGUGAAAACUCACAGCUUAACUGUGGGCGUGCGGGCGAUACGGGCAGACUGGAGUACUGCAGGGGAGACUGGAAUUCCUGGUGUAGCGGUGGAAUGCGCAGAUAUCAGGAGGAACACCGGUGGCGAAGGCGGGUCUCUGGGCAGUAACUGACGCUGAGGAGCGAAAGCGUGGGGAGCGAACAGGAUUAGAUACCCUGGUAGUCCACGCCGUAAACGGUGGGUACUAGGUGUGGGUUUCCUUCCUUGGGAUCCGUGCCGUAGCUAACGCAUUAAGUACCCCGCCUGGGGAGUACGGCCGCAA
rnacentral:rRNA from 1 species